CCACAUCCUGCAGAGGAUGAGGCUUGAAAGAGCCUUGGUUGACUAGCCCCAGGUCUUCGUGACCUACGUUACGGAGGAAGAUACAGACACCUGAGGAUGUUGUCCUAGUCCGCUGCUCUGC
rnacentral:sRNA from 1 species